UACUCAGAGCUGGUGGGGUGUCCCGAAAAGAUCAGAGGUUGAAGAAACUUGCCUUGUCAGGGGCCCUAAGUGAUUUCUCCAAUAGCUGGCAGCAUAUCAAGACCACAAUCUGCUUGAAGCUGCAUCAUCACUGAUGGCUGCUGGGCUUGGGUGGACCAGGGGAGCUGCACCCCCUGAACCCUCUGCCAGAGCUGUGCCCAUCGCAGGUGUCCUCAGGUGCUGGGAUGAGGCGCCUUAGCAGCAGAAGCCCUGGAACCCUCCUCCAGGAAGGCAAAAGCACCUUGGCCCCAGGGGGAAGGGUUCGGCUGCAGCAGGGGGUGCCCAGAGAGGAGCAGGGCAGAGGCAGCCGCUGGCACGGCCAGUCACUCCUGCCUCGGGACUACCCGCUCCUGGCGGAGCACCCAGCUCCAGACGGUGGGGGGCCACAAGCAGCUGCAGGGGAAAGACAGCAAGCUACAAAUGCGAGAUAAAAUAUCAAUGCUUUCUGUUGAGGUUUUCCUGCUGUGCUGCUGCACAGUCCUGAUUAAUACUUAUAUUUUCAGACAUUCUGAUUAAAAAAAAGUCCCUGGGUGAAGCUCUGUGGAGAGCUCUGGUGAGCCUGGCCAGGCAACCCGCAGGCUGGCUCCUGGGCAGCUGGCAUCCCCAUCUCUGCCCCGCAAGACUCCUUCCCCACCCCUGCACCCACCCAUCCUGCCCCAGCUGUGUGGCCCCAGCAUCAGCCAAAGCAUCCUUUCGCCCACAGGUGUUUUUCUGCUCCAGGAAGGGUGGAGUUGUGCUGGUUUAAAAAUGACUGAUCGCUCCUGGUCGUUCCUUGGUUGCAUUUGCUAGCUUUGGUCUCUCCCACUGCGGAGCAGCAAGCAGGCAUCUGUCCAGUGGGACAUCCUGAUCCCCAGCGUGGUAGGAUGCUUCUGGCGCCAGAGGAGCUGGGAAGAGCCAGCAAAACCCCGCUGGCUGACACCAGAGCCUGGGGACCUGGCCUUUCGCAGUGCUCAGAGGAUUGUCCCAGGCACAGUUGGUGUGCCUGGGUAGUCAGUUCAUUGAAAUGGAGCGGUGGUGGUGGUGGGUCUCUAGGAAGUUGGCAGUGCAUCUCUGGAUUUGAAGAAAAACAAGAAGAGAGUCUCACUAUCGUCUCCUUUAGACCACAUUAAUGACCUUAAAUGGCAAUGUUUUGUUAUUUUUUUUUCUUCAAGUGGCUUUUCUUUGGAAACUCGCAUUUCCUCAAUGCAAAAACAUUAAACAGAAAGCAAACAGCUUUAUAAAAUGCCUUGUGUCCCCCCCAAAAAAGCCCCA